rnacentral:rRNA from 1 species
GAUGAACGCUGGCGGCGUGCCUAAUACAUGCAAGUCGAGCGAUUGGAUUGAGAGCUUGCUCUUAUGAAGUUAGCGGCGGACGGGUGAGUAACACGUGGGUAACCUGCCCAUAAGACUGGGAUAACUCCGGGAAACCGGGGCUAAUACCGGAUAACAUUUUGAACCGAAUGGUUCGAAAUUGAAAGGCGGCUUCGGCUGUCACUUAUGGAUGGACCCGCGUCGCAUUAGCUAGUUGGUGAGGUAACGGCUCACCAAGGCAACGAUGCGUAGCCGACCUGAGAGGGUGAUCGGCCACACUGGGACUGAGACACGGCCCAGACUCCUACGGGAGGCAGCAGUAGGGAAUCUUCCGCAAUGGACGAAAGUCUGACGGAGCAACGCCGCGUGAGUGAUGAAGGCUUUCGGGUCGUAAAACCCUGUUGUUAGGGAAGAACAAGUGCUAGUUGAAUAAGCUGACACCUUGACGGUACCUAACCAGAAAGCCACGGCUAACUACGUGCCAGCAGCCGCGGUAA